rnacentral:lncRNA from 15 species
AAUACUUGCUGUUUGUCAGUGUUUGACACUAAUUUAAUUUCACUGGUAUCCACACUGACAGACACUGAAGUCAAUUCAACUGUAAAUAUUAUAAUAUAUAACCCUCAUAAUGUUAAAAGAGGAGAGAAAUCAUACAGUGGGAACAGAAUCAACUUUUACUGAACUUUUCUGAUGUCUACUUGGUAGUUUCUGUGUAUCCAGCAGUUGCUGUGGCUGAUGGAUCACAAUCUAAUUUACCACCCUGGUCUUUCUCUCUCUUCUCCACAAGAACCAGAACCAGCGACAGUGAGGAGUCCAAUAUAUCCAGUGUGUCCUUCAAGAGUGAUCAGUCAAGAGACAACAUCAUAAGUUUCAAACAAGGACAGCCUUCUGUUAAGAUGAAGGAAGAUUUCAGAAGACGCCAUCGUGAAAUGUGAAGAUGUCAAACUCAGUGCUUCCCAAAGGAUGACAGUGUAAGUGUGGCGUGGAUGCUUUCAUUAAUAACAGCAGGUGAGCCGUGUGUGGAGGAGGCUUAAAAUAUUUUUGGUUUGUUAUGAAACUAUGGUUGGGGAAAUUAGACCAUGGUCUAGGUAAUUAAUGGGAAGCAC